UACGGGGGGGCAAGCGUUGUUCGGAAUUACUGGGCGUAAAGGGCUCGUAGGCGGCCAACUAAGUCGGACGUGAAAUCCCCAGGCUCAACCUGGGAACUGCGUCCGAUACUGGAUGGCUUGAAUCCGGGAGAGGGAUGCAGAAUUCCAGGUGUAGCGGUGAAAUGCGUAGAUAUCUGGAGGAAUACCGGUGGCGAAGGCGGCAUCCUGGACCGGCAUUGACGCUGAGACGCGAAAGCGUGGGGAGCAAACAGG
rnacentral:rRNA from 1 species